rnacentral:lncRNA from 1 species
GAACAUUAAGCNACAACUAACAAAUUUCGUUACAUGCUUCUUUUCUUUAAUCCUAUACAAUGCAACCGUCGAGCAAGCGUAUCAAAUAUGCUCUUUGAGUCCUGUUUGGAGGAGCUUAUCCAAAUUUUUUUUCUUUCAUUAACUUCACAAGUAUGUUUUUGAAGAAGUACACUAGAAAAGAGUGGUUGGACAGGAUUGGGUAAAUAGGAGCAUUUAAAAACAUAGAACUAUAAAACAAGCUAAAGAAAAUCAAGAAUUUAAAUUAUAAACAGUUAGAAAUUUUAGAUUUAGAUACUAAACAAAUAUUGCAGCACAAGACAAGUGCAGAAAAUUGACUAUUAUCUUCUUAGGAUAGAAGCAACUCGAAAUUUAUUUAUUGGGAAUAGGACUUAUUUUUUGUUAUAUGAGGGAAAAGAAGAAAGGAAAUGCAGAAACUAUUAAGGAAUAUAUUGUACAAAUCGUGAAAAAUAGAUGAAACUAAAGCCAAGAAAAACAUGAUACAAAUUACAGACACGAAGCAAAUAGAGAACUGAAGAUGACCUACAAAUAAUGCUGCAGGGUGCUUAAUUUUAAAUAUUCUUAGUAUGAAUGGAAUGAAAUGCGAAGAAAGGUACCUUGGAUAAGGUGUGCUGCAGAAAACAAGUAGAGGAGGAAGAGAUAAUAUUUGAGAUUAUUGGCCAUUAUCUAUAAGUUUUUGUUGGAGAAGAAUAUGGUGGAAGGAUAGGGGAUGAUAUAUAGAGAGGCAGAGAGUGGAAGAACGAGGACCAUGAGAAGAUAGACUGGCUACAUAUGCAGCAAACAAAAGAGGUCCCCAACUGACAAACUUCAAAUUUUUU